UACGGGGGAGCAAGCGUUGUUCGGAUUUACUGGGCGUAAAGGGCGGGUAGGCGGCCACCGCAAGUCAGUUGAUGAAAUCGUCUGGGCUUAACCCAGAAACGGUCAACUGAUACUGCGGGCUAGAGUGCAGAAGGGCAACUGGAAUUCUACGGUGUAGCGGUGAAAUGCGUAGAUAUCGAGAGGAACACCUGCGGCGAAGGCGGUUGCUGGCUGACACUGACACUGAGAGACGAAAGCUAGGGAGCGAAUGGG
rnacentral:rRNA from 1 species